GACGGAGGAUCCAAGCGUUAUCCGGAGUGACUGGGCGUAAAGAGUUGCGUAGGCGGACUGUUAAGCGGAUGGUGAAAUCAUGUGGCUCAACCAUAUGGCUAUUAUCCGAACUGACAGCCUUGAGAGCGAGAGAGGUAGCUGGAAUUCCUGGUGUAGGGGUAAAAUCCGUAGAUAUCAGGAAGAACACCAAUGGCGUAGGCAGGCUACUGGCUCGUAUCUGACGCUAAGGCACGAAAGCGUGGGGAGCGAACCGG
rnacentral:misc_RNA from 1 species